AUAAUAUCAAUGUGUUUUAGAUAGCAUUUGAACAUAAUCAUUGGCAACGCUCCGUGGAUGUAUUCACAUACAAGUUGAGCAUGAGUUAGCGUGCUGGCAUUUCUGUGUUCUCCCAAAUAUCAUAAUGUAAAACUUGAUAUUGUCAGACUGAGUCUCCGAAAUAUGUUCUACCGGCAGCUUUGCACCUUGGACCUCUAAUAUUGGGAUCUGAUAUCCAUAGAGAUUUCAACAUCACCAUUUUCCAUUGAUGCCUAAACAUAUAACCCGCUCGAAUAUAAGGAGACCUUUGAGAAAUCCAUGGGAAAAAAAUCUUCGUUAAGCAAUAGUGAAUGUAGAUAAGCUGCAUCCCGAGGCCGCAAUUCCUUUCGAUCUUUCCCACCAUUGGACCAGAGAGAUAGGAUUCUAAUUGUACCAGAGAAGAUGAUGCAUGUGAGGAAAUGCUCCAGCGCAAGAGACUGAGAGAGGCAGAAGCAGAGGUAGAGGGUGGUGGGACAGUGCUCUCUGGCCGCCCCUUUCCUCCUGAGCUGUAAGAACGAAGCACAGACGGUAGAGAGGGGAAGAUCGAACCCAAGGCGAAGGAUGUUCAGGGAAGAAGCCACACUUCUUCAAGGUGCUGAUUGGAGAUUUUAAAGAGAGACUGAAAGUUCCUCUUUCCUUUUCAUCUGCAUACUUAGCAAAAAAUUGGGUGAAGCUUCGAAACCAGCAUGGUAUGCAGUGGAACUGUGGACGUCAAAUGCAACAUUAGAUUGUGAGCACUAACCACUGGGUGGCAACAUUUCUCUCUUGAAAAUCACUUGAAGAAAAGGCCUGUCUGCGAUUUUGAGUUAAUAAACAGAGAGCGCGAAUUCAAUGUUCAUAUCUUUGGUGACAGUGCAACAUGAAUGCGUCAUGCAUGCGAGUUACAAUCCAAGCUCCUGUCAGUAAUGCAACCAAAAGCUUGCUGCUGUAUAUUACCUCUAUGAGUAUCUCUGCAUCUGAGUGUUGUAUAUUUUGUAAAAUCCUACAUAUAAAGGAGGUUAGCAAGAGUUUGAUUGGAUUUUGCAUUCUCAUACCAUUUGACCUGUUUUAGUGCCUCUGUGUGGCAUUUUGCGACCUGCAAGAGGACUAUGCAAAAUGUGGAUCCAUGAUCUUCCAUUUGCAUUGGAUUAGUAAACUCCUUUUGACUUGUGAAA